rnacentral:rRNA from 1 species
CAGAUUGAACGCUGGCGGCAGGCCUAACACAUGCAAGUCGAGCGGCAGCGGGAAGUAGUUUACUACUUUGCCGGCGAGCGGCGGACGGGUGAGUAAUGUCUGGGAAACUGCCUGAUGGAGGGGGAUAACUACUGGAAACGGUAGCUAAUACCGCAUGACCUCGCAAGAGCAAAGUGGGGGACCUUCGGGCCUCACGCCAUCGGAUGUGCCCAGAUGGGAUUAGCUAGUAGGUGGGGUAAUGGCUCACCUAGGCGACGAUCCCUAGCUGGUCUGAGAGGAUGACCAGCCACACUGGAACUGAGACACGGUCCAGACUCCUACGGGAGGCAGCAGUGGGGAAUAUUGCACAAUGGGCGCAAGCCUGAUGCAGCCAUGCCGCGUGUGUGAAGAAGGCCUUCGGGUUGUAAAGCACUUUCAGCGAGGAGGAAGG